GGGGGGGAGAGGAGCAAGUGUGAUAAAGUCACAAAACAAGCACGAAGUUCACAGCCAUUGCACAGUGUCGCCCUUGAGCCAGUGCCACCAACUGGACUAAUCCACUUCAGCCCGACUGGGCUAGGCGAGCUGGGUAGCAGUUCCAGAGACCACCUUCUGCACAGGAACAGGUCAAAGUGCUGUGGACUCACAGCUUAGAGUUGUGAGCACCGGAUUCACUCCCACCAGAAGACAGUCGUCGCACAGCAGAGUAUAGCAGAGCAUAAACGACUCGGAGAGCAGCUCUGUAGAAUAUCUUCUUCAUUCUAUC